AGUGAACGCUGGCGGCAGGCCUAACACAUGCAAGUCGAACGGCAGCACAGUAAGAGCUUGCUCUUACGGGUGGCGAGUGGCGGACGGGUGAGGAAUACAUCGGAAUCUACUUUUUCGUGGGGGAUAACGUAGGGAAACUUACGCUAAUACCGCAUACGACCUACGGGUGAAAGCAGGGGAUCUUCGGACCUUGCGCGAUUGAAUGAGCCGAUGUCGGAUUAGCUAGUUGGCGGGGUAAACGCCCACCAAGGCGACGAUCCGUAGCUGGUCUGAGAGGAUGAUCAGCCACACUGGAACUGAGACACGGUCCAGACUCCUACGGGAGGCAGCAGUGGGGAAUAUUGGACAAUGGGCGCAAGCCUGAUCCAGCCAUACCGCGUGGGUGAAGAAGGCCUUCGGGUUGUAAAGCCCUUUUGUUGGGAAAGAAAAGCAGCAGGUUAAUACCCCGCUGUUCUGACGGUACCCAAAGAAUAAGCACCGGCUAACUUCGUG
rnacentral:rRNA from 1 species